GACGAACGCUGGCGGCGUGCCUAAUACAUGCAAGUCGAGCGGACCGACGGGAGCUUGCUCCCUUAGGUCAGCGGCGGACGGGUGAGUAACACGUGGGUAACCUGCCUGUAAGACUGGGAUAACUCCGGGAAACCGGGGCUAAUACCGGAUGCUUGAUUGAGCCGCAUGGUUCAAUUAUAAAAGGUGGCUUUCAGCUACCACUUACAGAUGGACCCGCGGCGCAUUAGCUAGUUGGUGAGGUAACGGCUCACCAAGGCGACGAUGCGUAGCCGACCUGAGAGGGUGAUCGGCCACACUGGGACUGAGACACGGCCCAGACUCCUACGGGAGGCAGCAGUAGGGAAUCUUCCGCAAUGGACGAAAGUCUGACGGAGCAACGCCGCGUGAGUGAUGAAGGUUUUCGGAUCGUAAAACUCUGUUGUUAGGGAAGAACAAGUACCGUUCGAAUAGGGCGGCACCUUGACGGUACCUAACCAGAAAGCCACGGCUAACUACGUGCCAGCAGCCGCGGUAAUACGUAGGUGGCAAGCGUUGUCCGGAAUUAUUGGGCGUAAAGCGCGCGCAGGCGGUUUCUUAAGUCUGAUGUGAAAGCCCCCGGCUCAACCGGGGAGGGUCAUUGGAAACUGGGGAACUUGAGUGCAGAAGAGGAGAGUGGAAUUCCACGUGUAGCGGUGAAAUGCGUAGAGAUGUGGAGGAACACCAGUGGCGAAG
rnacentral:rRNA from 1 species